rnacentral:rRNA from 1 species
UACGAGGGGGGCUAGCGUUGCUCGGAAUCACUGGGCGUAAAGGGUGCGUAGGCGGGUCUUUAAGUCAGGGGGGAAAUCCUGGAGCUCAACUCCAGAACUGCCUUUGAUACUGAGGAUCUUGAGUUCGGGAGAGGUGAGUGGAACUGCGAGUGUAGAGGUGAAAUUCGUAGAUAUUCGCAAGAACACCAGUGGCGAAGGCGGCUCACUGGCCCGAUACUGACGCUGAGGCACGAAAGCGUGGGGAGCAAACAGG